CCUACGGGCGGCAGCAGUGAGGAAUAUUGGUCAAUGGACGAGAGUCUGAACCAGCCAAGUAGCGUGAAGGAUGACUGCCCUAUGGGUUGUAAACUUCUUUUAUAUGGGAAUAAAACGUUCCACGUGUGGGAUUUUGUAUGUACCAUAUGAAUAAGGAUCGGCUAACUCCGUGCCAGCAGCCGCGUUAAUACGGAGGAUCCGAGCGUUAUCCGGAUUUAUUGGGUUUAAAGGGAGCGUAGGUGGAUUGUUAAGUCAGUGGUGAAAGUUUGCGGCUCAACCGUAAAAUUGCAGUUGAAACUGGCAGUCUUGAGUACAGUAGAGGUGGGCGGAAUUCGUGGUGUAGCGGUGAAAUGCAUAGAUAUCACGAAGAACUCCGAUUGCGAAGGCAGUUCACUGGACUGCAACUGACACUGAGGCUCGAAAGUGUGGGUAUCAAACAGGAUUAGAUACCCCAGUAGUC
rnacentral:rRNA from 1 species